rnacentral:lncRNA from 1 species
AGGCUAGAGGCCCUAAGAUAGGCAUUGAAUUGUUGGUGUUGUUGAAUGGUUGAAAUAUAUGAUGUGUUCAUAUAUGUGAUUAUGAAUAUUGAUGCCUUGAUUGUGUGAAAUAUGAGAAAUGCAUGUUGUGAUAUAUGCUUGAUGGAUGAUUGAGGUUGAAUUGAUGGGUGGUACCAUGUUGAUGGUGAGUAUGAUGUUGAUUAUGU